UUUUGUCUUCGUUCGUUUUCCUCUUUUCCAUUUAGUUUCUUCUUCGUUCCUUCAUACACAGCUGCCCUCUGCCAAAACCUCUCUCUCAGUCUCCCUCUCUGCAGCUCUUCUCUCAGCCUCUCUUCAAUCGCCGCCGUCACGCAGCAAAAUCAGAGAUCCCAUUCGCUCCCAGCUUCCAACAAUCGCAGCUUCCACCUAUUCAUCUGAUAUAGCUCUCUCUGUCUCUCUCUCAGAUAUUAUGAGUUCAUCUACACCUAGCACCACAGCUCCAGCUACUCUUCAAUGUUAGGAGGAAUUUAAUGAAGUUGGAUUGAAUUUGGGUUGUAAUAUAUAUUUGGAUUGAAUUUGGGUUGUAUUUGGCUUGUGAUUUAUUUUGGAACUUAUUUUGUUGAAGUUUAAUUGAAUUUGGGUUGUAAUUUAUAUGUUGAAGUUGGAUUGAAUUUGAA